GUAAACCCGUUGAAAAGCGGGGACACAAAGCCAGAUGGGUCUAAGGUCACGAAGCAGGAAAACCCGGACUAUGACAGACGGUUG
rnacentral:ncRNA from 1 species